rnacentral:rRNA from 1 species
UUUUCCUACGGGAGGCAGCAGUGGGGGAUAUUGGACAAUGGGGGGAACCCUGAUCCAGCGACGCCGCGUGAGUGAAGAAGUAUUUCGGUAUGUAAAGCUCUGUCAGCAGGGAAGAAAGCAAUGACGGUACCUGACCAAGAAGCCCCGGCUAACUACGUGCCAGCAGCCGCGGUAAUACGUAGGGGGCAAGCGUUAUCCGGAUUUACUGGGUGUAAAGGGUGCGUAGGUGGCAGGGCAAGUCAGAUGUGAAAGCCCGGGGCUCAACCCCGGUACUGCAUUUGAAACUGUCCAGCUGUAGUGC